UGGGGGAUAUUGCACAAUGGGCGAAAGCCUGAUGCAGCGACGCCGCGUGGGGGAUGAAGGCUUUCGGGUUGUAAACCUCUUUCGCUAUCGAACAAGGCCCGCUUAGGGUGGGUUGAGGGUAGGUGGAGAAGAAGCGCCGGCUAACUACGUGCCAGCAGCCGCGGUAAUACGUAGGGCGCGAGCGUUGUCCGGAAUUAUUGGGCGUAAAGGGCUUGUAGGCGGCUUGUUGCGCCUGCUGUGAAAACGCGGGGCUUAACUUCGCGCGUGCAGUGGGUACGGGCAGGCUUGAGUGUGGUAGGGGUGACUGGAAUUCCAGGUGUAGCGGUGGAAUGCGCAAAUAUCUGGAGGAACACCGAUGGCGAAGGCAGGUCACUGGGCCAUUACUGACGCUGAGGAGCGAAAGCAUGGGUAGCGAACAGG
rnacentral:rRNA from 1 species